UACGUAGGCAGCGAGCGUUGUUCGGAGUUACUGGGCGUAAAGGGCGCGUAGGCGGUAGCACAAGUCAGUUGUGAAAUCUCCGGGCUUAACUCGGAAAGGUCAACUGAUACUGUGCGACUAGAGUGCAGAAGGGGCAACUGGAAUUCUCGGUGUAGCGGUGAAAUGCGUAGAUAUCGAGAGGAACACCUGCGGCGAAGGCGGGUUGCUGGGCUGACACUGACGCUGAGGCGCGAAAGCCAGGGGAGCGAACGGG
rnacentral:rRNA from 1 species